GCCGGUGUAGCUCAGUUGGUAGAGCAGCUCACUUGUAAUGAGAAGGUCGAGGGUUCGAUUCCUUUCACCGGCACCA
rnacentral:tRNA from 222 species